AAAUUGAAUAAAUGGUUACAUAAAUCAGCUCAGGGGUCGAUGAAGAGCGCAGCCAACUGCAUAAGGUAAUGUGAAUUGCAGGACACAUUGAAUAUCGACAUCUUGAACGCACAUGGCGGACUCAUAAAACUCCAGAGACCACAUCUGUCUGAGGGUUA
rfam:Crassostrea gigas strain 05x7-T-G4-1.051#20 contig5504, whole genome shotgun sequence.